UCGUUUGCAAUUUUUUAAUUUACAUUUUGCGUUACUUACCUGAAUUAUUUCUUUUCUUUGCAGGAACUUUUGGUUAUUUCCACCCUUGAAGUUGAUUGCAGACUUUUAGCUUGGGGGGAUCAUCGCUUGGUUUUACUGCAAACUAGGGAAGUUUUCAGUCCAAUUGCUUUAUUUUGUUUCUUAUUAUUUAUUUAUUUUAUUUUUAUUUGCAUUAUAGUGUUUUCUGACAUUGAGGACAAUGUUAGAUUUAAGUGUGGGGCGGGGUAAACAAGUUUCUUUUGCAUGAUUUUCGUGGGAUUUUAUUCACCUAUCACUUACAAUGUUGUUUCUUAGUGUUUUAAGUGUUUUUAAGAAUGUUAGUGUGUUUUGACAUAAAAAUCCGAAAAUUUGACAAAAAUUUGAAAAAAAAAAAUUUUGUUUUGAAAAAGCCAAAAAGAGUUAUUUUUGUGUGUUUGUUUAUGUCUUAGGGUACCUUCCAACACAAUAAUGAGGAUUUGGUUUUUAAUUGCAUGACUGUUAAAGAAAGUUAUAAACAUGGAUGGAAGUUUGAUAUGCUCUUGAUUUAUGCUUGGUUAUAGUUAUAGUUUACGAAUUCACAUGUAAUCACGAAGAAAAAAAAUCAGUUUUUGUAACAUGCUUGAAGGAAGGAACUCAAACUAACACUACAACCCUGAGAGACUUGAGCCUAAUACGUUCUUUGGAGAGUUAUUAAUCUGUGCAUUUUUGUUGUCUAAAGUCGUUGCAUGAUCUCAUCAUUCUUUGCUUGGUUGCUACUUAGAAGGCGUUUCAUCAUUUAGUUCCAAAUACUAGAACUUAUGCCCGUUCCAUUCAAUGCAUGACAUUGAUUUGCAUAACACAUAUUCAAGAUGAAAGUUGUGUAGUGAACUAGAGCCAAAAAGCCUAUCUCGUGCAUAUUUGUUUAAGUUUAACCCCGUUGAGCCUUGUUUAGCCUAUUUUCUUUAUUAACCCACAUUACCCUUACCUAGCCUAGAUUAGGACUAUCCAUACCCUUGUUUUUAAAGCGUAAUGAAGCAUGACUUAAAAUGAAUUCCUUUUGAUUGUCCUUAUGCAGAAAACAAGUGUGGGGGAAUAAGAUUUUUGUGUGUUGAGUGCCAAAAGAAAGUAAUAAGGCACGGGUUAGAAAAAGAAAAAGUGUUGAAAAGAAAAGAAAAAGAGUUUGAAAUAAGUGAGGAAAGGCUCACAAGUGUUGUUUGUUGUAGAAAGGGUCCAAAAGUUGAAAUCGGCCCUAAAAAGUUGAAUGAAUAACCCCAUUGUGUUUAAAGUUAGUUGCUGCAUUCAAAGGGAAUUCUAAGCAUCAAUUUCAUUACUUUGCUUAUUAUGCUUUAAAAACGUUUGUUUCCUUACCUUUCAUUGUUAGCCAAUCACCCCUAACCCCGUUACAACCCUUAACUUCAAUCUUGAGUGUUAUGUGUUUCAAUAUGUGGAGUUUGGGAUUGGUAUGAGCAUAUGGUGUCACUGGUUCUCGCAUCUAAGUAGUAGCAUUCCAGUCAUGAGAUCAUAUCUAUACAUGCUUAAUAACUCCAGAAAUUGCUUUCUUUGCUAUAAACAUAUGUGAGUGUUCGUUUUCAUGUUUACAUCAAUCUUCUCACAAACACCUAGUGUAGGGUGUGUAGUCAGAAAAUCGGAGUGAAAAUAAGAGUGUAUCUUGUAAGGAAUUGAGCAGAUUCUCUAAGGCAUGUUACUACAUUCAAA
rnacentral:lncRNA from 1 species